UACAGAGGUCUCAAGCGUUGUUCGGAUUCAUUGGGCGUAAAGGGUGCGUAGGUGGCGCCGUAAGUCGGGUGUGAAAUUUCGGAGCUUAACUCCGAAACUGCAUUCGAUACUGCGGUGCUUGAGGACUGGAGAGGAGACUGGAAUUCAUGGUGUAGCAGUGAAAUGCGUAGAGAUCAUGAGGAAGACCAGUGGCGAAGGCGGGUCCCUGGACAACUUCUGACGCUGAGGCACGAAAAGCUAGGGGAGCAAACAGG
rnacentral:rRNA from 1 species